rnacentral:rRNA from 1 species
AGUGAACGCUGGCGGCGUGCCUAAUACAUGCAAGUCGAACGGAGUGGCGCACGGGUGAGUAAUAUAUAGCUAAUCUGCCCCUUGCUGGAGGACAACAGUUAGAAAUGACUGCUAAUACUCCAUAGCAAGGGAUGAGACUAUAUCGUAUCAGCUAGUCGGUGGGGUAACGGCGUACCGAGGCUAUGACGCGUAACUGGUCUGAUAGGAUGAUCAGUCACAUCCGAACGGAGACACGGGUCAAAAACCUACGGCAGUCGGCAGUAGCCAAUAUUGCGCAUGGCGGGAAACCCUGACGCAGCAACGUGGCGUGGAGUAUGACACGUUUCGGAGCGUAAACUCCUUUUGGUAGGGAAGCGGUACCCAACGAAUAAGCACCGGCUAACUCCGUGCCAGCAGCCGCGGUAAUUC